UUUACAAAAGCGUUAAAUUGUUUAAUUACAUGUUCUAUCCAUAACAAUCGUCGCGCGUAGUAAAAGUAGGAAUAUAACGAGUACGAGUGUUAAAGCAACGGGAAUGUCGGAACUUAUUAUUUGUCGCGAAAGUUUACGAUUAACGGCGUUGAUCUGGUGAUCGAAUAGUACAUUUAACGAGGUUACAAUCGCAGUGAGUAAACAGAUUUUGAUGUCAUAAAUACGCAAAAUAAUGCAUUUGCUUAAAACAAUCAAAGUGCAAUUUUUGAAGUGUUUUUGAAGUGUACUUUUUUGAAGUGUACUUUUUAUUAGAUAUAACACGUUAAACGUUAAAACUUUAGCAUGAAGGUAUUGAAUCAAAUAGAACAUAUUUGUCAUUGUGCAUGUAUCCGUAUCUAAUAAUUCCGCGAAACCGCCAAGCGGCAUCAUCCAUUUCACUCGUUCAAAGAAUAUGCAUAUAAUAUCGAAUCAAUCGCGUGUUAUAAUAAAUAGUUAUAUAACUAUAUAAACGCGUUACAGCACAAAGUGUGCUUCGUUUAUCGCGACGCGACAAAUUCGCGACGUGAAUCCAUGAUUUUCGCAUAAAUGCGUGGACAGAAUGCCAUCCAUUAGUGUGUAUAUAUGUGUAUAAUUAAUUGUAAGUGCGGUAUUCAUCGAUUCGUUGGAGCUGAUGUGGAGCAGUCUGAAGCGGAUCUGCAGCGGUAGACAGACUACAAUAUCCUAGCUGGUAGAGCCGACGGCAUACUCAGCUACGAUACAACGAUGAACAUUUCGCCGGACGGACGUAUGGAUCGCAGAGCGCGAUAGGUCUCGCCCAGUAAUAACAG